AAACAGUUUCAGCUAUAAAUACGUCUGAUUUUCUAAUCCGAAUCUCAGAGUGUUCAGUGGGAAAGUGGAUCAUUAGACGCUGACACUACAUUAUACCAGGAAAAAAGUAUGGUAGCUCUUCAUCAAGUACUUGUUGUUGGCAGCAAUUUGUUUACUACCAGAGUCAACCAUCUCAUGUCGCCAGUACAGAAAGGGUGGAGGCCGUAGCGUGUUCUGUCCAUGUGCAGGCGACAUGACUUGUGAAGCAGGCCAUCACGUUUGUAGAAAGCCAGGAGGAUUGGGAGAUCCAUGUCAUGCUACAAGGCCUUGUGGUUCUGGACUACAAUGUGAGGCAGGUCGUCAAAUUUGCAGAAAGUAUGGCGGGGACGGAGCUCAAUGUCAUGCAACACUGGAGUGUAAAAACGGAUAUGGUUGCUUGGCAUUGUUCCAUGUGUGCCGAAAAAGUACCCAAAGCCAUGGCGAGCUAUGUAAUAUGUUUAACAAGUUCUGCAAAGAUGGCUUAUACUGCGCUCACACUCAUAGAUGUGCCGGCUAGAUAAAGCGGCUAAAGUAACCAUGCUGCUCAGAACCUUCCACUAAGAUGAACAAACUACUUCAUAUACUGUAAGAUAGAUA